rnacentral:rRNA from 1 species
GACGAACGCUGGCGGCGUGCUUAACACAUGCAAGCCGAACGGAAAGGCCCUGCUUUUGUGGGGUGCUCGAGUGGCGAACGGGUGAGUAACACGUGAGUAACCUGCCCUUGACUUUGGGAUAACUUCAGGAAACUGGGGCUAAUACCGGAUAGGAGCUCCUGCUGCAUGGUGGGGGUUGGAAAGUUUCGGCGGUUGGGGAUGGACUCGCGGCUUAUCAGCUUGUUGGUGGGGUAGUGGCUUACCAAGGCUUUGACGGGUAGCCGGCCUGAGAGGGUGACCGGCCACAUUGGGACUGAGAUACGGCCCAGACUCCUACGGGAGGCAGCAGUGGGGAAUAUUGCACAAUGGGCGGAAGCCUGAUGCAGCAACGCCGCGUGCGGGAUGACGGCCUUCGGGUUGUAAACCGCUUUCGCCUGUGACGAAGCGUGAGUGACGGUAAUGGGUAAAGAAGCACCGGCUAGCUACGUG